CUUCAUUCCUUUUAUAUUCCUGAAUCCCAGUGUGUACUAGCUCAUGCAGAUGAACAUCUCAAUAUCUCAGCAGGUGCUGGCAACCUGCUGAGGAACAUGGAGACACACACCAUUAACUCCAGUACAGGACUGGGUGAAGGGCACCACAAGGGCUUAAGUAAUCUGUGGAGCUGUUUUCAGAUACUCCAUUGGAUGCAGGCCUUGAGAGAUGAAGGUCAGAUCUGAACUGGGUUAGUAAAUGUGCUGGGGAGGGAAAGAGAACUAAAGAAUUUGGGGACAGCUUGCAAACUCCUGACUUUUCCAGGAAAUAGCAGGCAGGGAUGGCAUGGGGCAGAAGGCUAGGAAUGGAUGUGUGGACGCAGGAUUGCUUUGCCCUCUCCGCUAUGCUGAAGCUUGCUUUCUGUAUUUUAUGGGGAGCGAGAGGAGUCCCUGGAAGUUUUCAGGAAGAAGGGAGGCCGUGCUGAUGGGUAUAAAAUGGACAGCUUGUCUGAGGAGACGUGUGAAGGAGGGCAAAGAGGGACACAUCACUCAAAAACAACGUCUUUGCUUGGAGUUCUUAAUAUGUAAGAGAUCGUGAAACCGGAAAAAGAACAAUGAAAAAAAGAAAGAAACUCUGCAAGACAUGAAAAUGGACUCUUGGAGAGGAAAAUUACACAUGGAGCUGAUGGGGAGGGUAGAGAGCAUUAUCAAAAAAUAUGUAUAAAAAUGUCAUCAGGAAAACUGUUACAUUGUGUCUUAAUUAAAAAAAAAAACAACAACAACCAAAGUUUAAAAGAGUGAAAAUGGAGCACCAGCAUCCAUCUCCCUCUGCUUCCUGAGUGUGACGUCAUGUGACCAGCCACCUCCUGCUUCUGCCACCGUGCCUCUUCUACCUUUGGACUGUGAACCAAAACGUACCCUGCUUUCCUGAAGUUGUUCUUGACAGAAACCCCAGCUGAAUCCUGGAAAUGCUUCACAAACAUCCCAAGCACAGAUGUAAGGAAAGACGAAGAAAUCUGAAGCUGAAACCAACAGAGUGAGAGUGUGAAUGAGUGAGAGCAAGGUAUCAAAGUAAAGAGGCCUUGGGCUAGUUCAGGAACCAAAUAUCUGGAGAUGAAGAGGAUGUGUUCUGGGCUGGGUCACCUUCAAUGGGAGACUUCUUGUUGAACCUUUUUCUACACAUCACAUGCAUGAGGCCUAACCCAAGAUCUGCCGAAUCGGAAGAAAUCCUGAGGGGUAUACUUUACAACUGGCAGCAGCAUAAGCUCUGUGGGUGAUUCUGAUGGAUGCCGUGGUUGAACAAUCAGGGUAGUGAUGUAUGAAACAGUCCCCACCUUCUGAUUGCCUGUGGCCUGUCUUAAACAACCAAGCAUCAUGGAACCAUGUUGGAUCAGCACGAGGGGAGAAGGAAGUCCUCUGAAGUGGGAACAGUUGUCAGCCAUCAUGAACUGCGUGUGUGUCAGCAUCUGCCAAGACUUCUUGGACUCAUUCCUUUCUCCCCACUUGUGCCAUGAACCAAUGACUUCAUCAUUCCUGUGCUCAGAUGUUGGUUCAAGAAUUCAGUAGUUGUUCAGUCUAAGAAGCUGGAUGUCUCAGCCAGUCUUCAGUACAUGCCAAAAUCCUGAAGAAGUAGGCUGUAAUGCCAGUGAAGGAAUGGACUUGCCAGCGAGAGUGAGAGCAAACCAGCAAAGAGAGCAAGCUUCCUUCUUCCAUGUCCUUUACAUAGGCUGCCAGCAGACGGUGUGGCCUGGAUUAAAGCUUUUCGUUACAGUGUGUUUGGGGCAGUAGUAUUCAUCUCACCUGAUUUCACUGUCCAUCUUGACUGGAGAAACUUGUCCUGGAGAACAAAGAGGCACAGAUGAUGAGAAGGGAUUUGCCUGUUAACCUGAAUGUUACUGAGAACACCAAUUUACGUGAACAUCCAUUUUUCAAAACUGUGGGAAACGGGCAAGAUGUUGCUGGCUGAGAAAACAUUUCUGCCUUGGCUGCUGGCCAUCACCCGUCGAGGUCACCUGAAGAGGUCAGUGUUGCCACCAUGGCCACCAGUCUGCCAAAGCCUGUCCUGAGGCUCAUCCAAGCCUCAGCUCCAGUAGCCAAAGUGCAGAUGGAUCUUCUAUUUUUGGUUCUGGGAUGCGGUCCAUGAAUGCUGAGCCAGUGACCUGGAAAAGCCAUUGCUGGUCGGAGUCCAUCAUUGUCUUUCAGUGUUUACCAGAAGGUCUAGGGGUGUGGGUGUGGGGCAUGGAAUGAUCCAGAGAUGACUGAGAAGGGACGAUGGUCAGGCGACAUGGACCCUGAAAACUCAUUUCCCUGCCAACACUGCGGCCAUCAAAAAUGAUUUUGGGCAUUUCAAACUAGACUCUUGCUACUGAUGUCUGCUUUUUUACCAAUUUUGAUGUCUCCAGAAUUUUUUUAAAGCCAUGAUUUCGUGUCAGUAAAACAUUUUUGAACACCCA